UACGGAGGAGGCGAGCGUUGUUCGGAAUUACUGGGCUUAAAGCGCGUGUAGGCGGAAUGGCAGGUGUUUUGUGAAAGCCCCCGGCUCAACCGGGGAACGGCAGGGCAAACCACCAUUCUUGAGGCAGGUAGGGGCAAGUGGAACCAUGGGUGGAGCGGUGAAAUGCGUAGAUAUUCAUGGGAACGCCGGUAGCGAAAGCGGCUUGCUGGGGCCGUCCUGACGCUGAGACGCGAAAGCGUGGGUAGCAAACAGG
rnacentral:rRNA from 1 species